AUCCAAAUAGCUCAACUGGCAGAGCAAAGGACUGAAAAUCCUUGUGUAGUGGUUCAAUUCCACUUUUGGGUA
rnacentral:tRNA from 1 species